GACGAACGCUGGCGGCGCGCCUAACACAUGCAAGUCGAACGGAGUCAAGAGGAGCUUGCUUUUCUUGACUUAGUGGCGAACGGGUGAGUAACGCGUGAGUAACCUGCCCUGGAGUGGGGGACAACAGUUGGAAACGACUGCUAAUACCGCAUAAGCCCACGGAUCUGCAUGGAUCUGCGGGAAAAGGAUUUAUUCGCUCUAGGAUGGACUCGCGUCCAAUUAGCUAGUUGGUGGGGUAACGGCCCACCAAGGCGACGAUUGGUAGCCGGACUGAGAGGUUGAACGGCCACAUUGGGACUGAGACACGGCCCAGACUCCUACGGGAGGCAGCAGUGGGGGAUAUUGCACAAUGGGGGAAACCCUGAUGCAGCGACGCCGCGUGGAGGAAGAAGGUUUUCGGAUUGUAAACUCCUGUCGUUAGGGACGAUAAUGACGGUACCUAACAAGAAAGCACCAGCUAACUACGUG
rnacentral:rRNA from 1 species